AUUGAACGCUGGCGGCAGGCCUAACACAUGCAAGUCGAACGCGUGGCGGACGGGUGAGUAAUGUCUGGGAAACUGCCUGAUGGAGGGGGAUAACUACUGGAAACGGUAGCUAAUACCGCAUACCAUCGGAUGUGCCCAGAUGUGAUUAGCUAGUAGGUGGGGUAAAGGCUCACCUAGGCGACGAUCCCUAGCUGGUCUGAGAGGAUGACCAGCCACACUGGAACUGAGACACGGUCCAGAUGCCUCCGGGAGGCAGCCGUGGGGAAUAUGGCACAAGGGGCGCAAGCCUGAUGCAGCAAUGCCGCGUGUAUGAAGAAGGCCUUCGGGUUGUAAAGUACUUUCAGCGGGGAGGCGUUACCCGCAGAAGAAGCACCGGCUAACUCCGUGCCAGCAGCCGCGGUAAUAC
rnacentral:rRNA from 1 species